rnacentral:rRNA from 1 species
ACUGCUCAGUAACACGUAGUCAACAUGCCCAGGGGACGAGGAUAACCUCGGGAAACUGAGGAUAAACCUCGAUAGGCCAUGAUUUCUGGAAUGAUUCAUGGCUGAAACCUAUAUGGCCCCUGGAUUGGACUGCGGCCGAUCAGGCUGUUGGUGAGGUAAUGGCCCACCAAACCUGUUACCGGUACGGGCUCUGAGAGGAGGAGCCCGGAGAUGGGCACUGAGACAAGGGCCCAGGCCCUAUGGGGCGCAGCAGGCGCGAAACCUCUGCAAUGGGCGAAAGCCUGACAGGGUUACUCUGAGUGAUUUCCGCUAAGGGAAUCUUUUGGCACCUCUAAAAAUGGUGCAGAAUAAGGGGUGGGCAAGUCUGGUGUCAGCCGCCGCGGUAAUACCAGCACCCCGAGUGGUCGGGACGAUUAUUGGGCCUAAAGCAUCCGUAGCCGGUCCUGCAAGUCUUCCGUUAAAUCCAGCUGCUUAACAGAUGGGCCGCGGGAGAUACUACAGGGCUAGGAGGCGGGAGAGGCAAGCGGUACUUUAUGGGUAGGGGUAAAAUCCGCUGAUCCAUAGAAGACCACCAGUGGCGAAGGCGGCUUGCCAGAACGCGCUCGACGGUGAGGGAUGAAAGCUGGGGGAGCAAACCGGAUUAGAUACCCGGGUAGUCCCAGCUGUAAACGAUGCAGACUCGGUGAUGGGUUGGCCUCGCGCCUGCCCAGUGCCGCAGGGAAGCCGUUAAGUCUGCCGCCUGGGGAGUACGGUCGCAAGACUGAAACUUAAAGGAAUUGGCGGGGGAGCAC